rnacentral:tRNA from 1 species
GCCGGAAUAGCUCAGAGGUUAGAGCAGAGGACUGAAAAUCCUCGUGUCACCAGKUCAAAUA